CUAGAUCUGAGUGAUUGCAAAAAUCUAAGAAGUCUCUCCGGUGGGAUUAAUCUGAAAUCUCUCAAGGCUCUUAUUCUCACUAGCUGUUCAAGCCUUAGUGAAUUUCCUGAGAUCUCGGGAGAUGUUGAAUGUCUCAGCUUUAGUGGUACAGCAAUAGAAGAACUCCCUCAGUCUAUUGGAUCUCUUCCUACUCUAGCUCAUUUAUACCUAAAAAAACUGCAGUAUUACUCAAGUCUAAACAUUCCA
rnacentral:misc_RNA from 1 species